rnacentral:rRNA from 1 species
AUUGAAUGCUGGCGGCAUGCCUUACACAUGCAAGUCGAACGGCAGCGCGGGGCAACCUGGCGGCGAGUGGCGAACGGGUGAGUAAUAUAUCGGAACAUACCCUAGAGUGGGGGAUAACGUAGCGAAAGUUACGCUAAUACCGCAUACGCACUAAGGUGGAAAGUGGGGGAUCUUCGGACCUCAUGCUCAUGGAGUGGCCGAUAUCUGAUUAGCUAGUUGGUGAGGUAAAGGCUCACCAAGGCGACGAUCAGUAGCUGGUUUGAGAGAACGACCAGCCACACUGGAACUGAGACACGGUCCAGACUCCUACGGAGGCAGCAGUGGGGAAUUUUGGACAAUGGGGGCAACCCUGAUCCAGCAAUGCCGCGUGAGUGAAGAAGGCCUU